rnacentral:lncRNA from 1 species
UCUUCACGAUAUUCACGUUCUCUGAUUUCCGCAUGACCUCACGAAGAACCAAGCCACCCUUGAUCUUCUGUUGAGAAUCCAAAACCACCACACACCUCUGUUCACAGUAUCAGGCCCUUUUAAAGGGCUUAAACCUAAUUAGAUUAGGUUUAGAUAUCCUAAACAGGCCCAAACAAACCCCAUAUCAAGCUUGAACCGUUGGAUCGUAAUCGGGAUCAACCCACGCC